rnacentral:rRNA from 1 species
GGGUUGUGAGGUUAAGCGACUAAGCGUACACGGUGGAUGCCCUGGCAGUCAGAGGCGAUGAAGGGCGUGCUAAUCUGCGAUAAGCGCCGGUAAGGUGAUAUGAACCGUUAUAACCGGCGAUACCCGAAUGGGGAAACCCAGUGUGAUUCGUCACACUAUCAUUAACUGAAUCCAUAGGUUAAUGAGGCGAACCGGGGGAACUGAAACAUCUAAGUACCCCGAGGAAAAGAAAUCAACCGAGAUUCCCCCAGUAGCGGCGAGCGAACGGGGAGGAGCCCAGAGCCUGAAUCAGCAUGUGUGUUAGUGGAAGCGUCUGGAAAGGUGCGCGAUACAGGGUGACAGCCCCGUACACAAAAGCGCAUGUGCUGUGAGCUCGAUGAGUAGGGCGGGACACGUGGUAUCCUGUCUGAAUAUGGGGGGACCAUCCUCCAAGGCUAAAUACUCCUGACUGACCGAUAGUGAACCAGUACCGUGAGGGAAAGGCGAAAAGAACCCCGGCGAGGGGAGUGAAAAAGAACCUGAAACCGUGUACGUACAAGCAGUGGGAGCACAGGUUUACCUGUGUGACUGCGUACCUUUUGUAUAAUGGGUCAGCGACUUAUAUUCUGUAGCAAGGUUAACCGUAUAGGGGAGCCGUAGGGAAACCGAGUCUUAACCGGGCGUUAAGUUGCAGGGUAUAGACCCGAAACCCGGUGAUCUAGCCAUGGGCAGGUUGAAGGUUGGGUAACACUAACUGGAGGACCGAACCGACUAAUGUUGAAAAAUUAGCGGAUGACCUGUGGCUGGGGGUGAAAGGCCAAUCAAACCGGGAGAUAGCUGGUUCUCCCCGAAAGCUAUUUAGGUAGCGCCUCGUGAAUUCAUCUCCGGGGGUAGAGCACUGUUUCGGCUAGGGGGCCAUCCCGGCUUACCAACCCGAUGCAAACUGCGAAUACCGGAGAAUGUUAUCACGGGAGACACACGGCGGGUGCUAACGUCCGUCGUGAAGAGGGAAACAACCCAGACCGCCAGCUAAGGUCCCAAAGUCAUGGUUAAGUGGGAAACGAUGUGGGAAGGCCCAGACAGCCAGGAUGUUGGCUUAGAAGCAGCCAUCAUUUAAAGAAAGCGUAAUAGCUCACUGGUCGAGUCGGCCUGCGCGGAAGAUGUAACGGGGCUAAACCAUGCACCGAAGCUGCGGCAGCGAACGUAUCACCCAAGACAACUUUACGGAGUUGACGAUUGACGGAGCGAAGCGACGUCAAAGCGUUCAUUAAAGUCGAGUUGGCUUAGGGAUACGUUCGUUGGGUAGGGGAGCGUUCUGUAAGCCUGUGAAGGUGUGUCGUGAGGCAUGCUGGAGGUAUCAGAAGUGCGAAUGCUGACAUAAGUAACGAUAAAGCGGGUGAAAAGCCCGCUCGCCGGAAGACCAAGGGUUCCUGUCCAACGUUAAUCGGGGCAGGGUGAGUCGACCCCUAAGGCGAGGCCGAAAGGCGUAGUCGAUGG